rnacentral:rRNA from 1 species
AUUGAACGCUGGCGGCAGGCCUAACACAUGCACGUCGGACGAGCGGCGGACGGGUGAGUAAUGUAUGGGGAACUGCCUGAUGGAGGGGGAUAACUACUGGCAACGGUAGCUAAUACCGCCUACUAUCAGAUGUGCCCAUGUCGGAUUGGCUAGUUGGUGGGUUAAUGGCCCACCAGGGCGACGAUCCCUAUCUGGUCUGAGAGGAUGACCAGUCACACUGGAACUGAGACACGGUCCAGACUCCUACGGGAGGCAGCAGUGGGGAAUAUUGGACAAUGGGCGCAAGCCUGAUGCAGCCAUGCCGCGUGUAUGAAGAAGGUCUUCGGGUUGUAAAGCACUUUCAGUUGGGAGGCGUUACCAACAGAAUGAGCACCGGCUAACUUCGUGCCAGCCGCCGCGGUAAUUC